CCCUGGCCCCAUUGUCCCCUUUACCAAUAACCCAAUCGGCAUCAAUGGAACUACCGGAUUGGACUCAAUCACCAGAAGAUGGCGCCAUCCAACCAUCCACCCCAAUAGACUGGUAUCAACAAACACCAACCCCGCCCACUGAGGAUACUCCUGACGAAUGGGAGAAGCUGUUAGAAACACUGCUAUUAGAGUAAAGCUCUGCCGUAAGCAGAAGUGCUUAUAUGGACUGUUGUGUCAUUGAUGUCUUGUGUCUGACAGAGGGAACACCGACGCGAUCUGGAGCAGAAUCAAAAAGAAAGCAGACAACCUCAAUCUGGUUUCAUUCCUGUAGUUAUCAGAACACAUGAGGUGUGUAACAAUUAUCUCUCCUUUCUAAGUGUGAACUUGUCCACUUCCCUUCAUGGAUUUAAAGGAAAUGACUGGUUUAUGUAAACUCCCUCUACCCCAUGUCAACACCAAUCCAAUGCUUUUACAUUUGUGAGGAGUAGAGAAGGAAAGCUACAUUUCACAACUCUUAGUACAAACUCAAAACAUGAAGCCCUCUCUAAGGAGCCCUCAGAGAGGUGGACAUCAGAGAGAUGGAGGCAGGCGGCAGGGAACUGUUGUAUCUAAUGAAGUCCGGUCCAUCGUCGUUGAUCAUGUGGUCAACAGAGGUCUUACCAUGACAGAGGCCGACACAUUAGUUCACCCCAAUCUGAAAAGAUCAACUGGCAAAUUCCAUCAUGAGAACAUUUCAAUAAGAAAAGCGAAUAGACAGAAGACCCCAUGGUGGUGAUCGUGUGCUGACUGACCAGCAGGAGAGGACAGUGGAGGAAAUGGUGAGGGACAGGAAUGAUAUACUGACCAGCAGGAGAGGACAGUGGAGGAAAUGGUGAGGGACAGGAAUG